UUUCCGUAGGUGAACCUGCGGAAGGAUCAUUAAAACGUUCCAAUAACGUAUACCUUGGUGAACUGUUUAACCGUCCCAUUCUGGGAUCUGGCUGUAAAGUACGGGAAUGCGAUGCAGUAGGGGUGAGUGUAGGCUUCACGGCUUAUGCUCUUGACCUUGCGCCUGUACCCUCAACAACCCGCAAGGGUCGUUGGAGCCUUUUCCAGAAUCUUUACUACUGUGUUUUUCAUUUUAACCCCAUUUAUACUUUUUGUCUAACUAUAAUAAAUUCUAAAUUUAAGAACAAUUCUUAGCAACGGAUAUCUUGGUUCUC
rnacentral:misc_RNA from 1 species